UACAGAGGUCUCAAGCGUUGUUCGGAUUCAUUGGGCGUAAAGGGUGCGUAGGCGGCGCGGUAAGUCGGGUGUGAAAUCUCGGAGCUUAACUCCGAAACUGCAUUCGAUACUGCCGUGCUUGAGGACUGGAGAGGAGACUGGAAUUUACGGUGGUAGCGGUGAAAUGCGUAGAUAUCGUAAGGAAGACCAGUGGCGAAGGCGGGUCUCUGGACAGUUCCUGACGUGAGGCACGAAGGCCAGGGGAGCAAACGGG
rnacentral:rRNA from 1 species